rnacentral:rRNA from 1 species
AAAUUAGUGCUAGAAAAAAUUAAGUAGUUUAAUGUUCUUGAAAAUUAAGAAGAAUGGCGGUAUUUUAGUCUUUUCAGAGGAACCUGUUCUGUAAUUGAUAGUCCACGAUUUUUGUUACUUUUUUUCUAAAUUUAUAUAUCGCUGUGAUGGAAUAUUUUUUUUGAAGGUAAAUAUUCAAAAUUUUUAGAAAAAAGAAUUCAGGUCAAGAUGUAGUUUAUAAAAAAGAAGAAAUGGGUUACAAUAAUUGAAAUUUUUGGAAAAAUUUUUUAAAAGAAUUUUAAAAUUGGAUUUGAGAGUAAUUUUAUAUAAUUAAUGUAAAAUGAUUUUAGAUCUAAAAU